AGAGCCUGUCAUUAGGGGGGUAGGCAGACUGGGGUUAUGCCUGAGGGGGCCUGGUUUCUAAGCAGAGGCUGGGAUGGGAAGGAGGUGGAUUCCAAUUCUAGGAGGUGCCCUGGGGAAGAACCAAAGAAUAGCUCUGGGUCUGGUAGGAGCUGCAGGACCGGGUCACAGGGUGGCCUGAGUGAAGUCAGAGCCAGGCAAGGCCAUCUGCCAGCCCAGCGUCCCCAGAGCACAGGUCUGAGAGUCCUGGUGCCAACGGAAGCCAGGACCUGGAGAAGGGACAGAAGGGCCGCCGGACCCUGGAGCCCUUUAAUGCUGGCGGAGCCUGGGUUCUUUCCGCAAGAAAAGGCACCUGAGUUGGAGUACGCAGGGUGAAUCCAUUCCACCCUCUUCCCUGGACUGGCUCCAUCUCACUCUACCUACCACCGGCAGCCAACAGGGAACUUCCGGCCACACUCCAUGGGGCCAGGCUUUUGCAUGACUUCUCCCCAUUUGGGCACACACUGGAUGAGAAAAUUCCAAAAGAUGCCUUUGGCUCACCUCUCUCAGCAUCCUUGAAUUUGAUUGUCUUACGCCUGGGCAACCGGGGAUUGGCAGUCACUUCUGCCAGGAAGCCGGAGCUACAGAAGCCCAGGCUGCUACCCCUGCUCCUAAGGACCAGCUUCAGCUCUUGGUUCUCCUGGAUGAGCUGCACCAGCCGCCGUAGCUCUUCGUUCUCCUGUGCCAGCCGCUGGAUCUCCUGUCGCAGGCCCUCAUAGCUGCUGAGAAGGGACAUGCCCAGGAGUGGGCACAGCAGCUGCCCAGUAGUCAGUGGGCUGGCCAGGAAAAGGAGACUCUGUCAUUGUGAGGUCAGCAUCUGACCCCCACCUCUGCAUUCCAAGACUGCCACGGCCCAGUCUUCCUGUCUGCAGCAGGUUUCAACUGAUUUCUGAUUUCUGGCUGUGAAGCUUGGACCACCAGAGAGGCCCAGACACUGCCACGGGCCUUUGGAUUUCUUUAUUAAGCUCUUCCUGGAAGAUAGAAGUUUCUCUGUCCCACUCCAGCUUAGGUUCUCCAUGGAUUUCCAUGUCCUUUCCACAGCCCAGGAAACUCUGGCAAGAGUCCUGCGUUUGUGGCGAUGAAGUAGAGGACGGGGAAGAACCACCUGGAGCUAUGCUGCGGGAGACUGGAUACCACUGAGCCAUCUCUCUAGUCCCAAGCACUGACAAUUUAAAUAAUUCUACAAGGAAACAACCUUAAUCCCAGGAAACACAGGAUGUUUCCGACAGAACAGAGAUUUCAGCCCAUAUGAAUGGCAGGCCCAGUAAAAUUAAACGCCCAGAUAGACA